UCCUCCCUCUGGCUUCGUGCUUAACACAUGCAAGUCGAGCGGUAAGGCCUUUCGGGGUACACGAGCGGCGAACGGGUGAGUAACACGUGGGUGAUCUGCCCUGCACUUCGGGAUAAGCCUGGGAAACUGGGUCUAAUACCGGAUAUGACCUCCUAUCGCAUGGUGGGUGGUGGAAAGAUUUAUCGGUGCAGGAUGGGCCCGCGGCCUAUCAGCUUGUUGGUGGGGUAAUGGCCUACCAAGGCGACGACGGGUAGCCGACCUGAGAGGGUGACCGGCCACACUGGGACUGAGACACGGCCCAGACUCCUACGGGAGGCAGCAGUGGGGAAUAUUGCACAAUGGGCGAAAGCCUGAUGCAGCGACGCCGCGUGAGGGAUGACGGCCUUCGGGUUGUAAACCUCUUUCAGCAGGGACGAAGCGCAAGUGACGGUACCUGCAGAAGAAGCACCGGCUAACUACGUG
rnacentral:rRNA from 1 species